UACAGAGGGUGCAAGCGUUAAUCGGAAUUACUGGGCGUAAAGGGCGCGUAGGCGGUUAAUUAAGUUAGAUGUGAAAUACCUGGGCUUAACCUGGGGAUUGCAUUUAAUACUGGUUGGCUAGAGUAGAGUAGAGGGAAGUGGAAUUUCCAGUGUAGCGGUGAAAUGCGUAGAUAUUGGAAAGAACACCGGUGGCGAAGGCGGCUUCCUGGACUCAUACUGACGCUGAGGCGCGAAAGCGUGGGGAGCAAAC
rnacentral:rRNA from 1 species